rnacentral:sRNA from 1 species
AUAAAGGAAAAAGAAAAAGAAAAAAAUCAUACCAGUGGGUUGCCUCCCACUUAGCGCUUAUUUAUAGUCAAUAGCUUGACUUUGCUGGGAUUCAAGCAUCAGGUGGAUCAGAAGGUGGCAGUAAAUGCUUCUUAGAAGAACAUCGCAUCAUCCAUGGUGGUAUAGGAGCAUUUAGCGCUUGAGAUCGACCAUGGAAAUGAGGAAC